CCAUUGGGUACCCCAUGGGAGUCCUGAGAGUUUUUACUCUAGGUUAUCAACCAAAAGGACUUGGGCAAAGGUCCUACAUUAUCCUUCCAUAAAUUGGAUGCAUCUGCCUGGAGUCAGAAAGAGAGCAGUCUUCCCAGGGUCCUAGAAUCAACAUGUUUGGCUCCAGAAGGGGUAGGGAUAGGAGGCGUCCCUAUUCUUUGCCACUCAGGGGCACCUGGGUUGGUGUGCUUUUUAUCCUACUCAGAAUAUAAAAUAUGAAACCAGGCCCCAAGGACAGAGGCCUCGCACCCAGACCUUCAGACCAGAGUUCUGAGUUGAAAGGGCUGCCCAGUACCUCAGCACCAAGCACAGCACUGCUAUUCAAGAUGGCAGCAGCUAAUGCAGAGACGCUGCCCGAGGCAUUGUGGUCCAGAGCCGGGAACUGGGCCCCAACCCCGCCCGCUCCCAGCUGGCAGGAUCUAUAAAGCAGCCCCACCUGUCUGAGAGACCGUGGACUCUAGAUCCAGAGCUCACAUCUUUUGGUUUUUUGAUCAAAGAAUAGUUUUUUCUUUGCUUCUAAACCAAACUCAGUCUCAUUCUGUUGGCUCUAAUGACACCAGUCAGGAGGAUCCUUAUUGGGGACUGACUUGGGAGGGCUGGCAACAAAACUGUGUUAUAAAAGAAAUUAGUCAGCGCAAGCAGACUUGGUCAGUAACAUUUUAUUUCCUGAUAAGGAGGACGGGGACCUGCUCUUGAGAAACACACUAAAAAAGCUGGGCCAAAAGACCCUGAAGCCAUUCAGAGGCGUUCACGCUCCAGCAGGAGUGGGGCCCGGGCCAUGCUGGUUUCAAGUUCCUCAUUGCUACAUAAAUGGCCAAAGGAAACAUUAUCCAAGUUUCACAUCAAAGGCUAAUGGCAGGCUGAUUUUCCUUUUAAUCUGUCCAAUAAGCAAGUGGGGAUUAGACAAUGUACAUGCUUAGGAAGACGACUUCAUGCUGCUCGAGUGGACUUGCCCAUGCUCUCGUCUCCAGCCUGUCCGCACUAAGGAGCAGGUGUGUGUGAACAGGGUGGCAUAGAAAAUCUCUAUAGAAUGUCUGAACAACAUACUAAAUAAAUGGAGCUGAAACCUGGGGAACAGUUGGAGCUGCAAUCAUCCCCUUUACUCCCAGCUGGCUUUAGGAAUUCAGAUGAGGUCCACCUCUGGGAAAGGAGGCCUCCCAGAAACCACAGGAAACCUGUCCUAAAUACCCAGGGUCUACAUGAUGGCUCAACACUGCAUGAGAAAUGAUGGCUUCUGACGUCCUGGAUUGAUCUGCAAAGCAAUGAAGUCUUUUUUUUUUUUUUUUGAGUUUUAGAGUUGUGUGUGUGCAGCCUAGUGUCUCAGACCAGUGGAAGAGAUCCAUCAUCCGUGACGUUUAAUUCUCACACAGUAUCGUGUGGUGUGCAGGGCAGGAUUGAUCAUUUGGAUCCUACACAGGAGGAAGUGGAGGCCCGCAGAAGUUAUAUGACUUACCCCAAGACACACGAAUGCAGACUGGCCAGGCUGGGACCCCAGCUGAGGACUUUUGGUCACUUCUCUGACCCUCUGAUGCCAUGUGCUUUUCACUCUGCCGUGUUGCUAAUGGGCUAUUUCUCUGUGCAAAGUUGUCACUCUGGGUUACCUAAAGGACCUGGAAAAGGUCUGUUAUCCUUCCAUAAAUUGAAGGUACAUGCCUGGCAAGGAGUUACAGUGAGACAGCAGAGAAAACUAUCAGCUCUUGGCUGAGUUGCCAUAUUAGACCGUGAGCUUCACGACGGCAGUUACCAGGCCUGGCUCGCUCUGUAUCCCAGAACCUGGCAUAGUAAACACCUGCAGAGGGAGGGAAGGGGAGAGAAUGGGAGGGACGAAGGGAGGUUAAUUUCUUAGGAUCACUGGCCUGCUGUGUUGGCUCCUCUCAUUAGAUUAUCACAGGUGCUCGAGAUGAGUCCUAGGAUAGGACUUUGCAUAAUAUGAUUUUUCUGGUCUCAUUCUGGCUGCAUUAGUUUCUCACCUUUUUCUUUACUUCUGCUUUUAACUCAUGUGAUUUUGUUGUUUUCAUUUUUCCUGCUAUACUUUAAGCAUUCUUGUGGCUGAUUAAAUAUUUCUGGGACAUUAGUCCACCAAAAAAUUAAAAAAAAAAAACCUAGAAAAGCAAAUGAAUAGCUAUACACACACAUAAAUGGCAGUGAACAUUUCUAUUUGUGCCCCCCCAACCAAGAAUGCAACCCAUUCAAUAUUAACAAAUUCCGGAUUUUUUUCCCCAGCAGUGUUGCUAUCCUUCCUUUUCAUCUUUCCAAAUUCUACUCACUCUUUAAUACCUAUUCCACCAACAGUUUCCUCCCUGACCUCUGCCAGCUAGUCCGACUCUAGAAUCUUCUAACAGAAAGUGGCAUGUGCUACUUGUGAGCUCUGAGGUUGGCGGGAGUCUGGGGCAGUGGCAGUGCCAUGAAACUCACUGGCCAACCCCCCAACCCCUCGCAAUCUGACCGAGUUCCAGCAUGUGGUAACUGCUCUUGCCAGUCCAUCCCCUACCACAAGAGCAUGCCUUGGCCUCCCUCACCUCUGCUGACUCUGAAGGUUUACUGAAAUUACUUUCCUACCUCAAGCCUUGUUUAAAAUCCAUCUCUUCCAACAACUUGUCUCUGUCCUCUUGAAUGCCUUCCUAUAUUAACAUUCCAGUAGAUCCACUGUUUUUUUACUUCCUACAUUAUAUUUUGUCCUUUAUUAUCUAAAAUGUCAUGAAAAAGAAUAUUAUCCCUACAAAUGCACUGAGGAUGAUUUGGAGGAAAAGGUACAAUGGAAAUCUCUGGGGUGAACAAGAAGACUGUAAUUAUGUAGUGCUGAUGACAAAGGACCAAUGGGUGUCUCUGUGUUGGUUUCAUUAAUGACCCCGGUAAUGCCAUCUGUCUUUGUUUCCUUUAUGUCAGGAUCAUAAACAGAUGAGGUUUGAAGGGCUUUAUGCUUUGAAGAACUAUCAAAUUAUGUCUUACCUUAUUCUGGAUUCCUCUUAUCUGUAACCUCUACUUGGCAUUUAACAAAGCACUUUUACACGACUAUUCUGUGUCCAUCUUGUUCUCAUUUUCUUCUCGACAUCUCUAAGUAUUGAACACGAGGUAGACUCACAGAGAGCCUACAGCCUACAUUUGAGAGUUCACCCCACGCC
ensembl:lncRNA